GACGUAGGGAGCGAGCGUUGUCCGGAUUCAUUGGGCGUAAAGAGCGCGCAGGCGGUUUGGUAAGUCGGAUGUGAAAUCCCGGGGCUCAACCCCGGACCUGCAUCCGAUACUGCCCGACUAGAGGUAGGUAGGGGAGAUCGGAAUUCCUGGUGUAGCGGUGAAAUGCGCAGAUAUCAGGAGGAACACCGGUGGCGAAGGCGGAUCUCUGGGCCUUACCUGACGCUGAGACGCGAAAGCGUGGGGAGCGAACAGG
rnacentral:rRNA from 1 species